UACGAAGGGGGCUAGCGUUGUUCGGAAUUACUGGGCGUAAAGCGCACGUAGGCGGAUUUUAAGGCAGGGGUGAAAUCCCAGAGCUCAACUCUGGAACUGCCUUUGAUACUGGGUAUCUUGAGUAUGGAAGAGGUAAGUGGAAUUGCGAGUGUAGAGGUGAAAUUCGUAGAUAUUCGCAGGAACACCAGUGGCGAAGGCGGCUUACUGGUCCAUUACUGACGCUGAGGUGCGAAAGCGUGGGGAGCAAACAGG
rnacentral:rRNA from 1 species